rnacentral:rRNA from 1 species
GGGGAAUCUUGCACAAUGGGCGAAAGCCUGAUGCAGCGACGCCGCGUGCGGGACGAAGGCCUUCGGGUUGUAAACCGCUUUCAGCAGGGACGAGGCCGCAAGGUGACGGUACCUGCAGAAGAAGCCCCGGCUAACUACGUGCCAGCAGCCGCGGUAAUACGUAGGGGGCGAGCGUUAUCCGGAUUCAUUGGGCGUAAAGCGCGCGUAGGCGGCCCGUUAGGUCGGGAGUUAAAUCCGGGGGCUCAACCCCCGCCCGCUCCCGAUACCGGCGGGCUUGAGUCUGGUAGGGGAAGGCGGAAUUCCCAGUGUAGCGGUGGAAUGCGCAGAUAUUGGGAAGAACACCGGUGGCGAAGGCGGCCUUCUGGGCCACGACUGACGCUGAGGCGCGAAAGCUAGGGGAGCGAAC